GACAGAAGUCUAGUCUUUGGAAUGGUGAUGAACUGUACAAUAUAGUUGAUAUACUUUAUGUGUAGAUGGACAUAAUCCAGAAACAUUCCAGUAUGUACUUGUAAUCAGAAAAGUGCUGUUUUUAUAUCCUUUCUUCAAUCAGAAUACUGCGUUCUUGUUAUGUAGCCUGAUCAUGUAGAAUACUACUAGUAUUUGACACAGAAAUCCCAACAGAAAACAUGUUUGUGUCAGAAAAUUAUGUUCAUGAGUAUAUGUAUGUAUGGGGUAAUUAAUUCUUUUUGCUUUGUUAAGGAAAUCAAAUUCAAAGCUAAUAUUCUUUUAGAAUAGUACAAUAUUAUAUGGAAAUAUAGUAAAAUUAUUGUUUGAAGUGGUUGUUAAAGGUAAACUGAUCAAUUUCAAUUGUAUUCUUGAAGAGAGAUAUAUUAUAUUGUUCAUUAUACAAUGUCAUUUCAUGCACUUAAAGUCUGCUUAUUGCUGUAGGGUAUGUAAAAAGUCAAAUUUCUCUUUGCGGUUUGAUAUUUAUGUGAAAUUUGUUGGUAUGUAAAAUAAAUUCAUAAUAUAUAU
rnacentral:misc_RNA from 1 species